rnacentral:rRNA from 1 species
UACGUAGGGUGCAAGCGUUGUCCGGAAUUAUUGGGCGUAAAGAGCUCGUAGGCGGUCUGUUGCGUCGGCUGUGAAAACCCGGGGCUCAACCUCGGGUCUGCAGUCGAUACGAGCAAACUAGAGUGUUGCAGGGGAGACUGGAAUUCCUGGUGUAGCGGUGAAAUGCGCAGAUAUCAGGAGGAACACCGGUGGCGAAGGCGGGUCUCUGGGCAACAACUGACGCUGGAGGAGCGAAAGCCGUGGGGAGCGAACAGG